AUCAGGUUCAUAGACUUACAUAAGGGUCGCCUCCAAUUUCAGGUAGUGAUACCUUGCGAUCAUCUCGACUUGCCAUAAGAACCCACACAUUAAAUUUUGUGUCAAUCUAUGACUAUUUAUGUACAAACUGUUUUCGUUAUAUAAGAGGUCUUACAAAUCUG